rnacentral:lncRNA from 1 species
CUCAUCGCAACCUUCCCACCGUAGAUGUUCUUAUCAUGUGCGAGAGACUCCUGGGGAAUUGUGCUUUGAUUACCGAGGAUCUGUAUAACAGAUUCCAUCAUCGGUCCUCCCCGAUGAGGAUGGUUUUCCAUGAUUUGCAUCGCCAGGUCUUUCUAACGCUUCGUUGGGAUUAUGGCCAAAGUUUUGUACUGUCAGGGUUGCCUGACCCUCGUUGAAAUGUCCUUCAAUGGCUGAGAUCAUCGGACCACCUCCGAUGUUUCGCUGGAGUU